rnacentral:lncRNA from 1 species
GGGUCAGGAGUUUGAGUCACAUUUUUAAGAAUUUUGUUAUUUUAAUUUAAGAUAACCUUUAUCUUUGAAUGACAUAAUUAGGUCUAAUUCAGUGUAAAUUUGUGUCAAGAAUGAGCCUACUGGUUCAAUGGUUAAGCAUUUGUUUGUGUUAGUGGUCUUGUGUUCGAGUCUUAGCGUAGGUAUUAGGAAAUAUUUUUGCUUAAUGUCGGAAGUUCAAUUGGUGGUUAACUUAAACUAAUGUUUCCUUUUCUUGUUUUUUUUUCUAUUUUUCUUUCUCUCCAUUCUUUUCUUUUCUUUCUUUCUUUCUUUUCCUUCAUCCAAUUGUUGAUUGUAUUUGCACGUUUUGUUUGUUGCUACUGCUGUCGGGUAAGUAUGAGUAUUCUUAUCAAUUAGAUUAAUUGGGUGAAUGUCGUUAAUCGUAGGACUUCAGUUAAACUUUGGUUCGUUUGUUUUGUCAAAGUUGUUUACAACUCGAAGUGUUUAAUCCCUCUUUUAAGCGACCGUUUGGUUUCUUUUUAGGUGGGAAUAUUGGAAGCAACUAUCCUCAACGCAAUAACUCGGAUAGUCGUUGUUGAUUUUUUCGGUAAGUC